CUCAUCACUCAACCCUAAAUACCAAUCAAUCCAACCCCCCAUUUCGCAGUCUCUCUUGUGUGCGCCGCCAGCUCCCAACCCACAGUCUCUCCCCCAUCUCCCUUUUUGUUCUCUAGGUUCAUCGCAAAUCUGGUUGGAUUCUAUGACGUCAAAUGCUGGAUGACCCUUCCUCUCUCAAGCCUUGCAUCAGUAGACAAACAAAAUUGCACAGUUAAUUGUGGAUGGGUUUGAAGAAUUUUUUGAAGGUCUUAUUUGCAAUACUAUGCUGACUGCAACGAGUCUUAUCAGAAAGUCCGAUAAUGUGGUUUUUGCUAGAGGCAAGUAACAUAACACAAAGCUGAUUUCCAUUUCUUCACUCUAUCAGAUUCCUUUCCAUUCUUUCUUUCAUGUGCAACCAUAACAUCAUCAUAACUAUUUAUUUGAUAUAUUAUCUUCAAUAGUUCCAUGUUUUGAAAUAUUGGUCUAAUUAUAUUAUUUUUCUUCUUCUUGCACUCAAGAAUCUUGACAAGUUCAUCAAGACACCACAAAAAAUAUGCAAAAGUUUUUUGAAUUUUUAAUUACAAUGAUUAAAUUUUAGACAAUAUUACUAAAGGAUUGAAAAUUCAAAGCGCUAAAUUACUAUUUCUUAUGAAAAUUAUGAAUAUUCUUGGUGGUGCUUGAUGAACUUGUCAAGAUUCUUGAAUGUUAGAAGAAGAAAAAUCAUCUAAUUUGACCAAUAUGUCCCAACCUGAAACUAUUAAAGGUAAGAUAUCUAAUAAAUAACUAUUAUGAAGCUAUGAUUACACAUGAAAGAAGAAAUGGAAGAGACUUUGAUGAAGAAAUGAAAACCAGUUUUGUGUGAUGUUUCUUACCGGGAAUACAUGGUCUGAGUUGCAAAUCGGCUCACAUCGGAAGCAUCCCAAGGAUCAUAGAGUAAUCUUACUCCUUAGUAUCCCAAAGUAUCCAAUGACCUUUAAACAAGUCCACUGUGGCACCGCUAGAGCUUGAAGUCUUUCAUCACCUGUUUGGAAUCAUGAUUUAAUUUAUGAGUUGUGUUGCAUGAUGACAUUAAGAAUAAGAUGGCUUUCUGGGUAAAUUUUGUACUUGUUGAAGAUUCCAAGAUGUCAAACUAAAUGCUAAACUGAGCUCAUGUGUUGCUGUUCUCCCUUUUCCUCUUGGAAUUUUGGGCAUUCCAACCGGUGAUAUCUUCUUUAAGAGUCCAUCUUAUCUCCAUAUCCAGUAUUCAUUCCCAUCAUUCCUCCAAUAACAAACACUUGGUCCCCUCAAUGGCCAGUCAAGGGGAGGCAAUGCACCAAGUUUACCACCAAAACCAGAUGCUGUCUACAUGUGAUAUAUGUCUAUGUUUAUGUUUAUGGACCAUCUUGAUUAGGGAUGGCAACGGGUAGGAUCGGGCACGGGUUUUACAAUUACCAAACUCAAACCCAAAUCCCAGAACCCAAACCCAAACACAAACCCUUAUGGGCGAUAAAAUGAAAUCCAUGCCCAAAUUCAUUGGGUUUCGGAUUUACCCGAAACUCAAACCCAAACCCAAACCCAUGAGUUACGUAGCAACUCAAUCCAGAACUUACUUUCAUAUAAAAAAAAAGUGAAAUUCAUAUAAAGAAAAAAAAAACAAAUACUAUUCAUCAUCCUCAUCCAUCACUAAAGUGAAACAACAAUAGUUUAAAAUUUACUUUCUCAAACAAACAAAAGUACAAUUAAUCAUCAAACACUAGGAACAAAGUUUAUAAAUAUAUAUAUAUAUAUGUAUGAGGGUUUUUUUGUAAUUUUAUGUUUCAGGUAUCUUUGGGUUCGGGUUUGGGCACGGAUUUAACUAAUACCAAUUCCAAACCCAUAAAUGGCUACAGUAACGGGCAAAACCCAAACCCAAAUCCAGUCAACUUGGAUUUUGCCCGUCAAAUUGGAUCGGGUUCGGGCGGGUACCCAUGGGUUUGGGCAAAAUUGCCAUCCCUAAUCUUGAUGUUAGAGCAUCUCUAAUGCAUAGUUGCUAGUUGGGUUGCUUAAAAACUAUUUCGGUGGGUUCAGACUGACACAUAGGAUUUAAGCAACCCAAGCAGAAUUCGCUCCAACCACGGUUGCUUAGUUUACUUUUAGUUGGGUCUCAUUAUACUUCUUAUAUUUAUAUUAUUUGAAGGUAAUGACACUAUACAAGGUACAUGAAUGAAGAGAAAAUAUGACUUUUUAGUCAAAAAGUAAGGAGAGAGAAAAUAAGCAACCGUUGCUUAAAUAAGCAACCGUUGCUUAAAUUUAAGCAACCCAACUGUCACGUCAUGUUGCUCUAGUGGUGCUCCAAAAUAAGUAACGUUGCUUAAGUUGCCAACUGGAUUUAAGCAACCCCAUUAGAGAUGAGAUGCUCUUAGAAAUAAGAAUGUCACUAGUUUAAUAGGUAAGAAGAUGUAAGAGAUGUUCGGGGUUUGAGCUUAUUAGUACUAUAUACCUCAACUGGGAAAGAUGGAUCAGAUAAAUUUUGUUGGGCUCUCUUUAUUUUACCAUGGUCUAUUUGGCUGAUGGGAAUUUUUUAUUUUGGUUAUAAUUUUCAUGGGCUGCCAUUCGACCAAAAAAAAACCCCACUGAUAAACAUUGGAAUUGUUUUAUACUUUGUAGCAUUUGCAAAUGAAUGUAUAAGGAGUGAUCUACUGAAAAAAGAAUGUAGAAGGAGUGCAUUGAUGUGACGCAAUUUUUGAAAAUAAAAAAGGGGAGAAAGUGUAUAUAUAUGCUUGAGUGGAAGGCAUAAUAUUGAGGGGGAGCAAUUGUGAAAUAUAUUAAGUUUUGUCAUCAUAAAAAUGGGGAGAAUGUUAAAGCAAAACUUAUGAGGUAUCCCCUUAGGUUUUAAUGUCUCCAAAACUUAAUGGUACAUUUGUAUAUUUGACAAGGUGUGUUGAGUAUUUCAGGCUAUAAGUGUUAAACAUAGGUACAAACAUGUAACUAAGCAUCCACAAGAAAAGUGUAUAUAAAGAGAUAGUCAUAUGAGCAUUAGAACCGAAGCUAAGUGUCUAUCAUAUCGAGUAUUAAGAAAAAAGUAUUCAAGUGAAGAAGAGAAAGAAUGAAGUUGUGGAGCGAUAGGUCUAGCAUACAGAACAUGAGUAGUUCCUACCGCGAAGUAGUAGCGUCUAGAGCAUGUUAAGAGUGUGGGGCUAAGGAGAAACAUCUAAGUCUUAAGCUGAGUGUAUGAAGUGUACUAAAGCGUCUGAAGCAUACCACAUGUCUUUCAAACGUAUAAAAAGACCAUCAUCAAUUCCACAUCAUUAUCCACCCAAAGGGUGUGGAUGUGUGAUAAGUCAUUAGAGAUCAAAUUCGAAAUAGAUUAUUUUGAUAUCUUUAUCAUGAUGCAUCAUUUAACCUGACGAAUACUCAAGAAGAAAUUCAAAACUAAGAAAGCUUGAGAGUACCCCUUUAGCCGAACGUAUCCACAUAUAGGAUGAUGAAGAUCUUCUCUCUCAUUUAAGAUCUUUCAUUUGGGCAGAUAUAGCUCACCGCUCACCAUUUGGGCAGAUAUGGUAUGGCCAUGGUUUCCUUUGAUACUUGAUUUUGCACACGACUUUGAUGCAAACUUGUAGAUAUGGGCAUUGGGAAGUCGUGCAGACACCUAUACUUUACAAAUGCAAUGUGAGUGCUAUCAACAUGCAAUGCCAAAUUAUGAUAACAAUAAGAACGUUGAAAAGUCACGUAAGCCAAAUUAUAAACAAGAUAAAUGCCUUGUGAACUUAUUAUGAUUUUGUAAAGUAGAACAGACUCUGAACCCCCAUUCCCACACCAAGCCACCACUAGUUGAAAAUAUUGAAAAUAUACUUAUUACAUUUUAACAUCUAUACUAGAUACAAAGCACAAGCCCUUUAGAACGACAAAAAUCCGACGUGUCUUUCUCUCAGCAGUCCUCCACGCGUCAGCAUUCCAGGCAAUGUGGAUUUCUUAUGUUUGUCCCACUUUUCAAAUCGAUCUGAACUCCAAAGUCACUAGCUGUGUGAAGAACCACUUUCCUUCCCCGUUUUUUCCCAGUUUGUCAGUAAAGUCAAGGAGCACGAAUUCGACAAAUUGGGAGAAUCGAAACUCUUUUGAAAUUCAAAUUAAAUCUCUUCUAUCUCUCUAUCUCUCUCUCCAUAUUUGUUUUCAAAUUCUGGAUCUCUCUCAAAAUUCUUUCCUCUUCCUUAUCACAUCAGCGACGAGGCCGAUGUGAGAUCAGAACAAAUUCAGCGAAACGAUCCUCAAGACAGCGGCGUGCUGGUGCGAGAUUCAGCGAACUCUUCUCGGAACUCUCCCUGACAGCGGCGUGCUGGUGCGAGACGUCGUCGACCUCCAAGACGGUGGCUUCCAGCGCUGACUGAAGCUUUGUCUUUAUCCUGUUGGCCCGCGAGAGCACCGCGCUCCCUCCCCUCCAACUCAUUGAACUGCGAAAGCGGAAAAACACUCUCUUGCUCGCUUGGCUACUCAUCUGCCGUCCUCACUCGCAGUCUCCUCCAUCCUCGAGGUUUUCCAGAGGAGAUGGGCAGAUUGAAAGCAAUGUAAUAGAAAAUUGCAGAUCAAUGAACUGUGAUAAGGAGGGAUCUCGAAAAUGGCACUAUGGACUCCAUCAGAUAUGGUCACUUCAUGCUUUCUCAAACUGAACUUUUGUUGAAAUUAGGGCCUGAGGAUUUGUAUAUUUCAAGACUGAGAGAUCAACGAUGAACUAGGAGCUUGGAAUAGAGGAGGCUAAAAGCUUCCGUGAUCUUAACAUCUUCAUACUUUUGGUUCCAAAUAAAACUGCAAUACAGAAAACUCAGGAACCACCUAAGAAAAAAGACAAGACAGCAGCAGAUGAAGUCUCUGUCAAUGUCCAAUCAUAUCUGGAAACUUCCACGCGAGAGAUAACAGAUGGCUAACACAGGAUUUCCUUUACUAUUGCUGUUACAGCUUCAAAAUCAAAAUAAAACUUGAAAUGACAUUUUAUUCUUUUGAUAAUUAUGUGUUCUUCCCUAAUUGUCUAACAGAUUCAAGGCUAUUGGUUGUAUUAACACUUUCGUUGAUCGCUGCGGGAGAUAACAGAUGGCUAACACAGGAUUUCCAGAUUUUAUGAGGGAUUAUGCUAUGGACUUUCCAGGGUUUGAACUUUCUCUCUCUAUUUCUGUUUUAUUUUUCAUUAUCUCACUGCCCAAUCUGACUAUUUUCUUUUUAUAUCAAGGAUUUCAAAUUCAUGCUUCUGUUAGAGAAUCUCUGAUAAGAAAGUUUUAAAGUUUUACUUCAUUUUCAUGUUAUUCUUGAUCUGAUGUGGAAUGGGGUUAGUAUAGUAAACAGGGGUUAAUAUAUUAGAUUGGUGGCUGAAUGAACAGUUCUGGGUUCAUAUAAUGAGGAUAGGGACUUUGCUGAGUUCAAUGGUAUAGAUGAAGCCAUGCAACAACAGUUGUUAUCAGGCCUCCGUACCUUCUUGAAAGUGUACUCAGCAAUCUCCCUUGCAAAACUUGCAAGUUACAUGGAAGUGGAUGAACCCACCUUAAGGACUAUCUUGACGACAUAUAAGCAUAAGACACAUGCUGUUGAUAGCGAUGGAAAAAUUACAUCAACUGCAGAUGUGGAUUUCUAUAUUGAUGAUGACUUGAUUCAUGUUGUGCAGUCUAAACCUGCCAAAUGCAAUGGUGAUUACUUCUUGCGGCAGAUUGUCAAGCUUGAAGGGGUGAUCAAUGAGAUGGACGCAAUAAAGCUGGAGUGAGUUGUUGCCUAUUAGCACUUAAAUUGACUUCAUAAGUUAUCCUUUUUGCUUCCCUGUUUUACUUUGAUUAUCAGGCUGAAUUUUUCCUGAGGAGUCAGUGUGUUGUUUGGAUGUGGAGGAUGUAGUUAGCAUUCUAAAUGUAAUUCUAAUUUUUCUUAAGUUGUUUUAUCUUAAGAAAUAACCCAUCCAUUUAUUGUUCCAAAAAAAAAAUGCCCGAGUUAAUGUUAAAACAGUUUUUUUAGAUGUUCUCUUUAUUUAACCACAUGUAGAACUCUGUGUAGAAAAGCCGUGAGGAAAUGGAAAGGAGAGACAAUCAGACCUUAGGAGCUACAAGGACUUGAUGGUCACUGAAAAUAUGACAUCCAAGUUCCAACAAAGACAUUGCAUCAGGAAGCAAAUCAUUGCAGGAACUGGAGGAGGAUUUCAUGUAAGCAUUGAUCAUUGGAUUACAAGCAGAUGACUGAGGUCAGCUUGCUGCCAUGCAGAUUUAUGAUGAUGAAACUGCAUUCUCUUGGUUAAGGAUGAAGGAGUGUGUGCACCACUGUGAUUUAGGGAUGAAGGAGAAGGGAAGAAAAUCUUGGGGGGUAUAACAUUGUUUUUUGUACCUUAUGAUAGAAGUACACCUGGCUUGAGACCAUGAGUUUUACAUUAAUGUUCUCACUGUUGAGUGUUGAGCCAAAAUCUCAAGUUUCUUGCUAUGAUUAUCACAAAAAUCUUGCAAGGCACAAGUGUUUUGCAAUUUCCUCGGGCCUUUCUUCCUCCUCCUUAUUUUUACUACUGCUCUCACUAUUUGUGUUGACUGGCCAAGAUGUUUUGUUUAAUGUAUGGAAGAGGUUCAUUUUCAUUUCAAUUAUUUUGUCUUAAUUCAAAGAUUUUGGUCUGCAAUGACAGAUACAAAUAUAUGUAUUA